GGGGAAUAUUUCCGCCAUAGAACCGCUAGAAGGAGGAUAUAUAGAGCCCUUCUAUGUCUUAUGCCUCAUUUGUUAUUGUUGACAAAAACCGUAUAUUAUUCGCUUGGGUAGAGACAGAGCUACUUUCAGUCAUUCUGGACUGAAAAUGGGUCUUCGAAAGCCUCCGCUUUGCGUGUUUCCUGUGCCCAUGUUGGACUGUUGUUUCUGCUUCUCUGACAUCGGUUUUAUUAAACAGUAAAAAAAAAAGUUUAAUAAGGAAGAUGCUAACAGGUACCACUUCCUCCACAAUGCUGCCGUCAACAGCUGUUGCGGACGUGCUGUGCCGAGCAGAACACACAUUCAACAACAAGUUACCGAUCACCAUGGACCAGUUUCUGUCAGGCUUGAGGCAAAGGAGCAUCCUGAGGAGAACCUAACACAAAUGGCAGAGGACAAAGCAGCCAACUGGGAGUAGAUGUGACACACUCCUCAGCGGACGGGAACCUUCCAAGGCUGAGCGCAGAAUCCUAAACUUUCAGGCACUAUUAUCAGUGAUGGACAGUGAAUGGCACUCAUGUCGUCCCUUGAGAAUCAGCUGGUUCUAUGUCCACUUUUUGCAGAAAUGGAGUUAAGCAUAUCAGGACAUUCUAAAACCAUUUAAGUUUGUGUCCCAAAGUUCUUAGAUCCAUGCUAAACUACACUAAUCUACACACACUCACACCUACACCUACACACACUCACACCGUGUAAACGAAACAUUUAGUUCUAUGUCCUGAGUGGCGCUCGUUUCAAAUCAGGUAGUUCUAUGUCCAAGAGGACCCAAUCAGGGGCCAUACCUGGAUCAUGUGGCAUUCGCUCAAAAAAGAUGUAUGCUCAGAAAAUACAUGGAGGGGGUCUCAAAUUGACUGAGACAUGUUUACUUUAUGCCGUUGAUGCCUAAGUAAGGCAUUUUGAUACUGGUAAAAGUUUUAAAUGAUUGGUCUGAACAGGGCUAUCAUGUAAAUAGUUUUGUUUAAUGUUUGUUCAAAGUAGUUCUCUGUUCAAAUUUGGCAUUUUUAGACGGGCAAGGUUGUCCCAGAGUCACAUCUGAGAAGGUGGCUCAUUGAUAACCUUGUGUAUUUGAUAGUCAUUUUAUAUUUGAGUGUAUGAGGCAUUUUGAUGCAAAAUUUGGCAUUUCUGGAUAAGUUGUAUUUUUCAUCCUUUCACUCUUGCAUACUAGAUUUUGGUCAAGUGGCCAAUAUUGUCCCAACCUCAGGUUCAAAUGAGAAUUUGGCUCACUUACAGACUUGUCAUUGAUUUGAUAUAAUCGUUUUAUCUGUGAAUGUAUAUUUAAUAUUGAUGCAAUUUUUGUAUUUUAUACACUUUUUUUCUAAUUUUUAUUUUUUAUAUUAUAGAUUCUGGUCAAGUGGGCAAUGUUGUCCGGUGUCAGGUUCAAAUGACUGUUGCUCAUCCAUCAACUUUUAUCUAUGAGUGUACGAAGAAUUUUCAAUACUCAUCAAUCCUCAGUCUUAAAAAGGUCGUUCAUGGUGUUACACAUCGUUUGCCUACAUUCCCCAAUUAAUUAUCUUGCCUUUGAGGAUUGAAGUAUGGCUAGAAAAUGGUUGUUUGCCAUGAAAACUGAGUUAACACAAUUUACUCAGGGACUCCAAGUAUCCUAACACGUUUAUUCACCAUUCUAUCUUUAAUGAAAAAGGAUAGAUGUGCUCAUUUUAGUUGUCAACCUUAAAUACAUGUGGAUUGGAAAACACUAGCAAAGGAUGGUUUUUAAUGUUGCAUUUUGUGACAUCAGUAUAAAAUAGAUGUAAUCACUGACUAAAACGUUCUUAGUUUGUUGUGGACAUAGAACUUCCUGAUUUUGAUCAUAAGUGAAACCUGUAAAGGCACAUGUUGGACAUAGAACUUAUUGACCAGGGCCAACUUACAUACCUUGGAAUCAGAAAGUUCUAUGUUCAUUUUUGACUUCUUAUACCUCUAAGCCUAUGGAGAUUUAGAACAUGUUAACAAAAUGUUUAGGGUACCUUCAGUCAACACUAUUCCACACAAAAGAUGAUUGAUAACUCUCCAAAUAUCAGAGAUCAGGCAGGUGAAAUUUUCAAACUCCGUUUUCUCAAAAUGAGGAAAAAUGGACAUAGAACUAGCUGAUUCUCAAGGGACAAUGUGUCAGCUGGUUGUCCCCUACAUAAUGUAAUAGUAAUACAGGUUUGAGGAACUGCGGUGGAAUGUCUGCAUUUAAGAUAACUUUGAGGAAGCUCAAACACCGUGUGUUUGUUGAGAUGCAGAUUAACUCCUUAAUGUUCAAUUACACAAAAAAGAUUUACAUUCUUAUGGUGCAGAUGUCUUUGAAGACAGUUUGUCAAAUAUUAUUCUUAUACAUUGCUCUGCCAUAGUACACUGUAUCUGGAUGUAGUUCAACAAAUACUGUAAUGUGGUGUGCAGCUGCCUUAUGUUAGGUAUGUGUACCUUGUCAUAUUUACCUUAUUCCAAUACUCAGUUACAGUAGUCGCUUCAUUCUGACCUCUAGAUUAUUUCACAGAUUAGAUGGCUUGCUGUGUUUACCAGGCUGCUGGCCACUAACAUUUUAUGAUUGGCAGCUUGUGAGUAAAGAGUCUUAAUCCAUGAAGUCUAAGGCUACUCCUAAGUGUGUUCCAGACAUCCCACCUGUACAGACAUUUGGCAGACUUGACAGAGAGGUAUGUGGUGUUCCCCUUGUGUAUAAGUGUCAAUUGCAUUCUUAAAUGUAUUUAUUUUAAUGCCUGUUUUUAUUCAUGUUUUAUCAUUCUGAAUAUUGCAUUAUUUUAAUGCCUUGAAUAUUUUUUGUAAAUACUGAUGUAUGUAGUGCCUUGCCAUGUACUGUUGUCUCUGAGAAAUUGUAUUUUUGCAAUUAAAAAAAUAUAUAUAUAUAUCAA